ACUCCCGAGGGGACGGUCUCCCGCCCGCCCUCACACACAGCUAGCUCUUCAGGCCAGGCCCCCAGGGUUUCGUCCACCUCUCACCUUUGACGACGCGAAUGAAGAAUGAGGAGGUGCUGCGAUCGAACGACUGCGAGGAAACACACCCGCUCUCAUGGCAUUCCCAGUAAACUGAGAAGACGUGAUUAAACCUCAGGAUCUCCUACUAAUAGAGAAAUGUAUAACGAUUUAGCUACCAGAUCUGAAUACUGAAGGGUUGGUAGGGGACCAGAGAAUAGAGGAAGCAUUGUAGGUUCUAGAGUGGAGAAGGGACCAUCCAAAAUGGAGUUUGAAAGAGAAUUCUGGCCUUUGUGUUUAGAGUCUGGAAUUGUCAAGAGUCUGAAAGCACAGAAUAAGACUGCAGCUAGAGCAAUUUAGGCGCCAUAGUUUGUCAAAACAGAGACGGGAUCUCACUGUGUUGCCCAGGCUGGUCUCGAACUGCUGGACUCAAGUCAUCCUCCCAUCUUGGCCUCCCAAAGUGCUGGAAUUACAGUGGACAACCUUCAAUGCACUGGUACUUUGUACCCUGACCUCUACUGUGAUGAACACUCAACUUGGGCAAGGAAGUGAAAUUCUCCAAAGCAAGGAGGAGGGUGCUCUGAAUAGAUGGACCCUGAUUCUACUUACAAAACUGUGGGAAGAAACCGGAGCUUCCUCCCUCUCUGAGACAACGGUGCCACUGAGACUGCGUGAGAUGCGACGUAAAUUCUCUGCACUGUACUGCUCAUCCUCCCCACACUCCCUGCUGAGGCCUCGGCAAGGUGUAGCCUUCAAACACACAGACACAUACAGGCAGACACAUAAUACCAGACUUAUGGUUUUCCCACAGACAGUAUCCUCAGGGUAUGGGAAAGAGUAGGGGAAGACUCAGUAGUAAUAGACACCUGAAUUAGAUGUAUUGGUAAGAUAGUGGCCAUGUAACAAUCUCCUCUAAUUCAAAAGAAGCCCAAUCAUAGACCUUAUUUUCUUCUGAUAGCCCCAUAUCACCAUGCCUCUGCCUUAUCAUCAUCCCUGUCACAUCUCUCCAUAAUUCCUUCCCCAACACACCACCCCAGGCCCAGCACCUUAGCACCUGAGGCUGCUACCUGAGAAGUACGCACUGUUCUGGCUUCAUGGAGACCAUGCUCCAUUUCUGCUGUUGAAGUCUUUGAGAGACCAGGAUCAUGGGCUGAGUGCAACCUCCUCCCCAUGCCAUCUGCAGAGCCUGAAGAGGAAAACACAAAUACAAGUUGAGGCCAUCUCUUCCCCUAGGGCCUAACCUCUAAGCCUAGCAGCACAAACUCAGGAGCUGUUGUUUCAUUUAAUAAUAAAUAUGCAUCCUUGAAUUCAACGGAGGAACAUGCUCCUGGAAUUUAGAAGCAAGAGGGGCUGGGCGCGGUGGCUCACACCUGUAAUCCCAGCACUUUGGGAGGCCAACACGGGCAGAUCACGAGGUCAGGAGAUCGAGACCACCCUGGCUAACAUGGUAAAACCCUGUCUCUACUAAAAAUACAAAAAAUUAGCCGGGCGUGGUGGCAGGCACCUGUAAUCCCAGCUACUCGGGAGGCUGAGGCAGGAGAAUGGCGUGAACCCGGGAGGCGUAGCUUGCAGUGAGCGGAGAUCACGCCACUGCACUCCAGCCCGGGUGACAGAGCGAGACUCCGUCUCAAAAAAAAAAAGAAACAAGAAUUUUAGAAUAUAGAUAGUUUACUGAGUGUCCCCAUCUUGCUUCAUUUCAUUUUUGUAAACAUAAUCAGCUUCUGUCAGACUUAGGCUCAAGACUUAUAGACAGAGGAAAGUAUCUAACACAGUGAGUUUUGUUUUCUAACACAGUGAUUUUCUAAAGUAUCUGUGGUGACAAAGGAAAUUAUCUCCAGUCUAGUUCAGAAUAGAAAUGAUCAUAAUAAUCAUCUAUCAAACCUCCUCAUUUUAUAUAACAGGAAAAUGAGUUCCAGGGUCUGAGAGUUUAGUAGUUUAACCAGGAUUAAAAUUAAAUCCUCUUGAUUUUCAGUACAGUACUCUUACCAUCUCACCUGGUGACCUCUUUUACUCUGAGAGCAGGAGCUCCUCAGGAAUGUUUUACAUAUGUAAUGCUCUUUUCCCCUUAGCUUCUCUCAAAUCAUUUAAAUUUCUAAACAACCACUAAAUGCUUACCUCUUUUCAAAAUCUUUCUAGAUUGUUCAGUUGCUCUAAACUGGAUUGGUGACUCCCAAGGGGCUAUCCCCAAUCCAACUAAUUAAGUUUUCCAUUCCAAAACUGUAUAUGCCCCUGACCUACAUUUGAUACAUAUGUCCAUGGCCAAUUCAUGUCUUGAUUUGAUGAUUUGAUUCUAAUAUAUAUAUAUAUAUCUGGCUGAAGCUGAUAUUAUUCAUGUAAGUAUUGUAAGACCAGUUAUUUUCAGUAUUCCUGGGUACUUAAAUGCAGUGCUUUCAAUACCACCUCAGAUUCAUCUGGGAACUUUUAAAAAUAUAGCUUCCUGGAUGUUACCACAGAGCUGAAUCAGAAGGUUUGUGGUUGGUGCCUGGGAAUUUUCAUUUUUGAAAGGUUCCCAAAAAGUCUAAGAAAAUAUCCUUGAACAUUAUUGGGGGAAAUGGGAAAUGUUACAGUCUUCCUAAAAAACAACCUGGUAAUCUCCAAUAAAAUAAAAAAUAUAUUUAUCCUGUUGCCCAACGAUUCUAAUCCUGAGAAGAAGAAGAAAAAAAUACCAGUUCAUAACAACAUAUAUAUGAGAAUAUUUUCUACUGACAUAAUUUAUAGUAGCCAAGAACUAGAAAUAAAGUAAUGCCCACCUAUAGAAGAAUAAAUACAUUAUGGUUUAAUACCAGAUAUUGUCCAGCCACUUAAAAAGAUUGAACUGAGUUAAACUAGAUGAUUUGAAGAAAUUUUAAUGAAACAUUGUUGCAUUAAAAGGAAAAAAAUCUGUAAAAUGAUAGACAAGCAUUUGUUUAUGUAUAUGUAGGUCUACAUAGGAUUGUAUAAACAGAAAAUACAGUGUAUGCACACUAGAUAAUUACCUGGGGAAGUAGGGACUGGCUGUGAGAGAAGAGACAGGAAAAUUGUCUAUAAUAAAAACAGCAUGUGUGUUAUGUUCUUAUUUCUAUAAAAUUA
rnacentral:lncRNA from 1 species